CUUGAAAUCUUUAGUGCCAGGAAAACACCUUUUAUUUUCCACAUAGAGAUGCAUUGAUUCAUACCCUGGCAGAAAUUGUGAAAUGUUGGCAUUGAUUUUGAAAAUAUAACUAAUCAUGCAAAGAAAUGUCUUUACUGAAGCAUAGUGACAGAGUGAAGCCAUUUAUUAUCACAUAGUUGUUUGGCUCCUUUUAAAAUCAUAAUGAUUACAGAAAUAACCCAAAUGGCCGUGAUCAAAAGUUUACAUAUCCUUGAAUGUUUGGCCUUGUUACAGACACACUUGAUGACACACAUAGGUUAAAAUGCUAAUUAAAGGUUAAUUUUCCACACCUGUGGCUUUUUAAAUUGCAAUUCGUGUCUGUGUAUAAAUAGUCAAUGAGUUUGUGAGCUCUCAGGUGGAUGCACUGAGCAGGCUGGAUACUGAGCCAUGGGGAGCAUAGAAGAACUUUCAAAACAAGGUAAUGGAACUUUAUAAAGAUGGAAAAGUAAGUAAAAAGAUAUCCAAAGCCUUGAAAAU